CCAAAUAAUAUUCAGUUGCUAUAU
rnacentral:siRNA from 1 species